UCCGCUCGCCCUCCGCGGCUCGCCGCUUCCCAACCGCCCGCGUCCGUCCGCGGCCAGGCAGCGGUGGGGAUGGCGAGCCGCGGAGCCAGGGUGGUGACGAGCGCAGCGGCUCCGUCAUUGGGCGAGGAGGCCUGAGGGACGGGCUGGCUGGGUGCUUAAGGACACCAGAACCCGCGGCCCCAGCAGAGCGAAGGCAAUGGAGUCCAACGUGCCGAAGCGGAAGGAGCCCCUCAAGUCCCUCCGCAUCAAAGUCAUCUCCAUGGGCAACGCCGAAGUGGGGAAAAGCUGCAUUAUAAAACGCUACUGUGAGAAGAGAUUUGUGUCUAAAUACCUGGCCACCAUUGGGAUUGACUAUGGAGUCACAAAGGUCCAAGUCAGAGACAGAGAAAUCAAAGUUAACAUCUUUGACAUGGCUGGACAUCCCUUCUUCUUUGAGGUCCGAAAUGAAUUCUACAAGGACACACAAGGUGUGAUACUGGUCUAUGACGUUGGGCAGAAAGACUCAUUUGACGCCCUUGAUUCAUGGCUGGCAGAAAUGAAGCAAGAGCUUGGGCCUCAUGGGAACAUGGAGAAUAUUGUCUUUGUUGUAUGUGCCAACAAGAUUGACUGCUCUAAACACCGCUGCAUUGAUGAAAGUGAGGGGCGUCUCUGGGCUGAAAGCAGAGGGUUCCUGUACUUUGAAACAUCAGCACAGACUGGAGAGGGGAUCAACGAGAUGUUCCAGACCUUUUACAUGUCCAUAGUUGACUUGUGUGAAAAUGGGGGCAAGCGUCCUACCGCAAAUAGCAGUGCUAGCUACACCAAAGAACAAGCGGACACCAUUCGCCGAAUCCGGACUAGUAAGGACAGCUGGGAGAUGCUGGGAGUCAGACCUGGGGCCUCAAGGGAGGAAGUCAAUAAGGCCUACCGGAAGCUGGCUGUGCUGCUUCACCCAGACAAGUGUGUAGCUCCUGGUAGUGAAGAUGCCUUCAAAGCAGUUGUGAACGCCCGGACAGCUCUCCUGAAAAACAUCAAGUAGAGGCAGCGGAAACUACAGGCAAGCUUAAGUGCAGACAGACUCCCUUUGAGACCCUGGUCUGCCUAGCACUCCGAGAAACCAGAAAAUGGCCUGAUUCACUCUCCUCUAACUGCACAUCUUGCUGACAUGUUCCAAGUGUCUCAGUUCUCACAGGGCCCAUCUGUCCUCCCCGGACAUAGAGUCCACAAUGAAUCCUUGAUGACUUCAGAAUAAAAAUAGUGAUUCGAGGCUGGUGAGCUGGCUCAGCCAGGAGAGCGCUUGGCCUUCGCAGAGGACCCAGGUUUGAUUCCCAGCACCACACGGCAACUCACAACCAGCUAACUGUUCCAGAGGAUCUGAUGCCAUCCUCUGGCCUCCUCUGGUGCCAGCCAUGCACAUGGUGUACAGACGUGCAGAUAAACACUCAGAUGCAAAAAAAUAAAAGGAAUAAAUGACUCAACUUCCCUUCAAGAUAAAAGAAAAACAAAACUACUUCCAUUGUAAGUAUUUCCUAAGAAGAAAAUAACAUGCAAACUUCGUGGGGUUUGCCUUCUUCUAGAAUGCCCCAGUAUGUCCUCGGGGUAUUUACAUUGGGAUUGAAAAGGGAACUGACAUAGCUUAACUUUUCUCCUGUCUCUGUGUGAGUGUAUCCACGUGUGACUAUGUGCAGUGUGCACAUAUGUACAUGGAGGUCAGAGGUCAACAUCCAGUGCCCUCCUCUCAUGCUCUCCAUUUUAUCUAUUGAGACAGGGGCUCUCAUUGAACAUGGAGGUCCCUGAUUGGCUAGACUGGCCAACAAGCUUUAGGAUCCACUUGUCCUCUCUCCCCUCUAGGAAUAGAGUCCUCAGCACAUGCUGCCUUGACUGGCUUUUAUAUGGUGGCUGGAGAUCCAAGCCAGGUCCUCAUCCUUACACAUUCAGCUAUUGUGUGUGCACGUGUGCACACGAGCUCUCGCACAGGCAGGCUUGGCUGGUUAACUGUCAAGCUCCAGGGAUCCACCUACCUUCUGCCUCCCACCUCACCAUCCCUGGCCCCUGCAAGAUUUUAUUUAACAAGGCAUUGUUGAGUAUCAGGGCUGUCGAUCCAUGUAUAAAAGAGAAAUCACGAUCUUAUUCUUGGGCUCAGAGUCUUGGAGUGGGGUGAUAACCAUUAUAAUUCUAACAGACUCCAGCAUGUGUUAAAAUACAGGUGUGAAGAAUGCAAUUGGAUCCUGCCUGGGUUCCCUGUGGCUGUCAUAACAAGUUAGCACAAACAGGGUGGCACUAGACUAGAAUUUUUUUUGUCUCAUAUCUCUGGCGGCUAGCAGUUUGAAAUCUGGGUUCCAGCAGAACUGUUGCUUUCUAGGAGUCUUGAUCAAGUUUGUUUUCUCUGCCAGUUAAGGAAUUAAAAGGCAGGGAAACUGGAGGGCACCAGGUACUAUCAGAAAACUCUCUGACCUCUUACACAGGAGCAGACAGACUUAGCAGUUAAGACACAGGUUUAUCGGGGCGAGCACACACAUUCAGCAGACUCCCAGGGAAGAGACCCUCUGUGUCUGGGGAGGGGUGGCUCAGGAAGCCGGAAAAUCAAUCUCUCCUCAAGGGCUGGAUUUUUAAAGCGUCUGAAGAGUUUUUCUCUCCUGAUUUAGGGUUGGUCAGUUUGAAGAGAGGUGGAUGGUUGAUUGGCCCACAACUAUUGUGCAAUACACCCUGAUCUGAAGGCCUGGAACUUACUGAGCCAGUCUAUCAGCAGGGAGCCUUUUGAUUGGAGGAAAAUCUCCAAGGCCUGGAUUUUUUUUUUUUGUUUGUUUGUUUUUUUGUUUUUGUUUUUUUUUGUUUUUUUGUUUUUUUUGUGCUAGGCUUUUAUCUCAGGGCCAUCUAGGAAGUGCACCACUUUUAUUACCUAUCCAUGCCUUCUCCCUAUCUGUCUGCCUACCGGGGAGUCUGUCUAACUCCUAGCUUCUCAGAAUCUUGUCCUUGCUGGCAGCCUGGGAGAAAAUGCCUUCUUGCCUGCUCUAGAGUCUGGUGGCUCUGAGAGUCCCUUACUUGUAGCCAUAUCCCACCAAUCUUGACCUUUGUCCCACACCCCUCCUCAUUUGUAAGGACAUCGUCACUACUUUGGAGCCUUUGCCAGUGAUCUAGCGUGAUCUUAUAUUAGAUCUUUUACUUAAUUAUACCUGAAAAGAUCCUUUCCCCAAGGUGGUUCAACCAUGUGUUUCUGGGGUUUGGAUGUGGGCAUAUUUGAGGGGCACCAUUCAAACCACUAUAGAUUUCAAAGGAAAGUGACUAAGGGUACACUGAAGGUGACGUGAGCGUUCCAUAUGACCCUAUAAUAACUGGGGAGAAAGCUUGGAAGCGUGGAGACCUUAAUUCAACCCCUAGAACCCACACCAAACAAACAAACACACACCCUCUCCUCACCUUUCCCCCCUGCCCCCACCCCUUAGGCAUUUACUCUCUCAGCUACAGGGAGGUGGAGGCAGGAGGAUCCCUGUGGCCAGGAGGCUGGUCAGCCUAGCCCUCCUGAGGAGCCUCUGGCCAGUGAGAAAUCUCAAAAAACAAAGAGAUCCUACUGUGGUGGCAUGUAUCUCUGAUCCCAGACCGCAGGAGGCAGAGGCAGGCGGAUCUCCAUGUGUUCAAGACCAGCCUGCUCUCUACAUAGUGUGUCCUAGCCCAGCCAGAGCUACACAGAGAGAGAGACCCUGACUCAGAAAACAAAAGCAAACACAACCCCAAACUAAAGCAACGAAACAAAAAGCAAAUGUGGAGGGUGAUGUCUUAGGAACAACACACGAACUUGACCUCCACCCUCCACACACAUGAAUGUCAAAAUACAGAAAGAUUUUAGAGGACUGAGGAAGGUGGGCGGUGCUGUCCCUGGAGAGAAGGGUCAGCCUUCUCCCUCUCUAAGUGGGACCUACCAUAGACUUGGGAGGAUCAUCUUUGCUGGGAUGUAGAGCAUGGGGAGGGAAGAGGGAUGACGUUCCGGCUCAAGGAUGGUUCUUGGUUCCUGAAAUGAGGCAGGAUGGCUCUGUGUGUGUGUGUGUGUGUGUGUGUGUGUGUGUGUGUGUGUGUGAACUUGAUUUUAGAUUUUUUAAAAAAUACUAUGUAUAUGGGUAUUUUGCCUGCAUGUAUGUCUCUGCUCCACUGGUGUGUGUGCCUGCUGCCCAUAGAGGCCAGAAGGGGUCAUAGAAUCCCCUGGAACUGGAGUUACAGAUGGUUGUGAGCAGCCUUGUUGGUGCUGGGAAUCAAACCUGGGUCCUCUGGAAGAGCAGCCCUUUUUUUGUUUUGUUUUGUUUUUAACCUCUGAGCCCUUUCUCCUGGCUGGAUAUUUAGAUUCUUGUCACCCUCAGGAGAUGCUUGGGACAGCCCUUCUUUACUGUCCCUGUCUGACCCGCCUCAGCUCUUAGCUUGGCCUUGGGAGAGGUGGCUUUCUACCCACAGAGGACUUCUAGGGUGAUCCUUCGUCCGUUCUCAGCCAGGCUGUUUCCAGCCCCCUUUGCUGUCCUAGACUCCUCCUCUGCUCUCCCUUUCUCCCAGAAGGCCUGAGGAGGCUUGUUAGUCUGCACUUCUAUGGAGGCUCUUCCCACGGGCCCUGGCUGGAGCGCUCUGGAAACGGUGACAUUCCCACAGAGGCCACAGGAUGACUCAGCAUUCACAGUGGUUCGAGCUCCUGGGCCUGUUUCUUCCUCUCUGAAGUUCACCUCUCUGGUCUCCAUUUGGGCUGAAGAAUGGUGUUUGCUGUCUCUUUUGGCUCUCACAUCAGGGAGUCUCUAGCCCUCUUGGCUAUCAGUGAGAAGCCAGGUCUUAGACCUCAGAUACAUGGGGACAAGGGAACCUAACUGGGGAAGCUUUGCCAGAGCCUUUCUCCACUGUGGGGUCUGGAAUAAAUUACCUCACGUCUCUGAGUAGGGUUUCCAUACCUGUAAAACAGGGUCCUUGGCAGUACUACCCCAUGUAGAGGGGAGAACACAUACGCCUUCAUACAUGCUCACUCCCAUAUAACUCAUCCUCAGUGACUUACAUGCUCACCUCCUGGCCCACACAGUCCCCUGCUCACACACAGUGUCUCCCUGUCACACACAUCUUCUCAGCCAUGGUCUCUCCCUCUCACACAUGCUCUCUCUCAUGCUCACAUAUACCCUCACACAUGCACACUUACAUGCUCUCUAACACACAUCAGACAUACACCUGUUUACACACCUUAACUCAUAUGCGUGCUCACACGUACUCAUCUGCAAGCGCACACACACACACACACACACACACACACACACACACACACACGCUCACAGACAUUCUUCUAUUCAUACAUGGAAACACAUGCUUGCUUUUCUUUCAUUCUUCCACAUCCAAGUGCCCCCGUGUAUCCAUAGUGGCCCAAGAAUCAACACAGAAGCUGAAGUAACAAGACACAGAGGGGCACAGAAUGACAAGUGAGAACACACGCACCACAGGCUGCUGCCAGGGAGAAAUGGCAGAUGAAUCAAGAGCCAGAAAGAGGACACAGUCUGAUGGCGGCCUAGUCCAGCCUUGCACAGGGCAGAGAUGCUCGCCGUCUAGCUGUGAAGUGGAUGGGCUCCCACUGACAUGCUCUGUGAAGGUUUGUCAGCCAUUCUGCCCCCUCCCCGCCCCCAUACCCUGUCAUGGUCUUGCUGUGUUGCCCAGGCUGGCCUCAGUCUCCUGGGUUCAAGCUAUUCUUCCGCCUUGACCUCCAUGAAGAGAGGCUAUGAGCUACCGAGCAUGGCUUGCUGGCAAACUCGUUUUACAUUUUCCUGUCUGCAGUGAUCACGUCUGCGGAUUGAUGACUGCUUUUAUGUCAGCUUGACACAAACUAGAGUCAUUUUGGAAGAGGGGACCUCAAUGGAGAGAUUACUAUUGUGAGUGGGCCCAGCUCACCAUGGUGGCUCCAACCCUGGACAGGUGGCCACAGUAGGAUGAGAAGGGAGACUGAGCAAACCAAGUAGGUGAGCAUGGGUCCUGCACGGCCCUCUGCAGCAGCCGCUGCCUCCAGGUCCCGGCCCUGUUUGAGUCCCCAGACUGACUUCCCUCAGCAGUAGAGUGAGCUAAAACCCCACCAGAAGCUCCAUGCUUUGGUCUUGCUAUUUUAUCACAGCAAUAGAAACCCUAACCAAGACACAGACUUUGCACCACAGGAACACUAAUGCACGGGAGGCAGAGAAGCUUUUAGAUAUCUUUUUGUUUUAAAGGUAUACAGUCUCAUUUUUUAUAGUAUAUUUUUUUAUUUACAUUUCAAAUGUUAUCCCCUUUCCUGGUUUCCCGUCCAUAAACCCCCAUCCCAUCCCCGUCCCCUGCUUCUAUGAGGGUGUUCCCUCACCCAACCACCCCCUCUUCCUGCCUCCCCACCCUGACAUUCCCCUACACUGGGGUCCAGCCUUGGCAGGACCAAGGGCUUCUCCUCCCAUUGGUGCCCAACAAGGCCAUCCUCGGCUACAUAUGCAGCUGGAGCCAUGAGCCUGUCCAUGUGGUCUCUUUGGAUGGUGGUUUAGUCCCUGGAAGCUCUGGUUGGUUGGUAUUGUUGUUCUACCUAUAGGAUGGCGAACCCCUUCAGCUCCUUCAAUCCUUUCUAUAACUCCUCCAAUGGAGAACCCGUUCUCAGUUCAAUGGUUGGCUGCUAGCAUUCGCCUCUGUAUUUGUCAUGCUCUGGCAGAGCCUCUCAGGAGACAGCUAUGUCAGGCUCCUGUCAGCAUGCACUUCUUGGCAUCCCCAAUAGUAAAUGGUUUUUUUUUUUUUUUUUUUUUUUUUUUUUUUUUUUUUUUUGGUUCUUUUUUUCGGAGCUGGGGAUUGAAAGUAAAUGGUUUUGGUGGCUGUAUGUAUAUAGGCUGGAUCCACAGGUGGGGCAGUCUCAGAUUGGCCAUUCCUUCAGUCUUUGCUCCAAACUUUGUCUCCAUAUCCCCUCCUAUGAAUAGUUUUGUUCCCCCUUCUAAGAAGGACUGAAGCGUCUGCACUUUGGUCAUCCUUCUUGAGCUUCAUGUGGUCUGUGGAUUGUAUCUUGGGUAAUCUGAGCUUUUGGGCUAAUAUCCACUUAUCAGUGAGUGCACACCAUGUGUGUUUUUCCUGUGACUGGGUUACCUCACUCAGGAUGAUAUUUUCUAGUUCCAUCCAUUUGCCUAUGAGUUUCAUGAAGUCAUUGUUUUUAAUAGCUGAGUGAUAUUCCAUUGUGUAAAUGUACCACUUUUUCUGGAAAGAACCCAGAUGUCCUUCAACAGAGGAAUGGAUAUAGAUAUUGUUAGCUAAUGUAAAAGGGUAAGUGCUUCUCUCCUCCAGGUAACAGGACACAAACCCCGGGGCUGCUGGCAGCUAAGCAGGGGUAUGAGCCCUGAAGAGGACACUAGAGUCAGACCCACCUCCUCCCUACCCAGUGCUCUGCCAGGAGCCUGCUUGGGCUCUUUCAGAUCCUGCCCAGGCCUCACUACUCAGCCUCAUGCAAGCCUGGAAGAACUAGGAAUGACCCCCCUGACCACACGUGGACUCACUCGCGCGCGCACGCACACACACACACACACACACACACACACACACACACACACACACGCAUGCACCCAAACCCCUCUCCCCCUGAAAUGGCUUCUCUAAUUAAACAACUCUGGCUGCCUGCUUUCAGGGCCCUCCUGGUGCCUGGUCCCAGGGGGAUUCAUGAUCUUCUCCCCUCCCUCCACCUCCUGCCCAAGGGAUACCAGAGUUCUGCUCUGGCCUAUUGUUUGCUACAUUCAGAAGCCACCAGGUCCCCUGGGGGAGUGGGGCAACCUACUCUUGUUUAUCCAAUAACAAUUAAUUCUCAGUAAUCAUGCUGGUCCUGAAUCAGGCAAACAAAAUUCAGCAAAAACUACCCUAUAGGGCUGUGAGGCUGGGAUGGUGUGGGGGUUGGGACUCCCUCCUGACUUCAGCCCACACCCACAGUUCUGGUUUUCCUGUGGAUAUGUGUGAGGGACAAGCCAUCUAGGCAUUUAAAAGUCAGACUGACAGCCUUCGAUGAUGGAAUUUAAGCCUGUCUGCCUGGUCCUGACCAGAAGAGAGUGGACCCCACAAGCCCAUCCUGGUCACUUGGCCUAGCGGUAGUGGGAAUAGAACCCAGGGCCUCCCUCACAUACCACAUGCAGGAUGAGCACUGUAUCCACCCCCUCCUUGAGGGCAGUUACUAUUUUAUUGAGACAGCAUCUCAUGUUGCCCAUGCUGGCCUCAAACUUGAUUUGUAGCUGAGGACAACUUUGGGUUUCUGAUCCUCUGGAGCACUGGGAUUACAGGCGUGGGUCACCCUACCUGGUUUAUACCAUGCUGGGAAUUGAACCUAGAGCCUCAUGCAUGCCAAGCACGAACUCUACCCACUGAACUACAUCCCCAGACCCGAGAGUGAUUAGUCUUGAAUGUCCUUUGACCUGAAUGCUUGAGGUACCAGAGAAGAAGGCCAGGUGACUGCCUUGGGGGCAGCUGGUGCCUUUAUAUGUGGCAAGUCUCUUCCAGGGACUCAGCCAUUCACUCUGCCACAGUGUCUAGCUAUGCUAGUGCAGGGACCCUGGAAGGCACUGUGGCUCACACAGAUGAGUUCCCAAUCUCCUUCAGGGUGGGCUGGGGCAGUGAGCAGCUCCUCUGAGUUGGAAUAUUCACCCCAUGCAUUUAACUGUCAGGGAAGCCUCAGCUGACCUCCUGUAGUCUUCCAGGACCCACAGGAAAGAACACAGCCCUGACUGGGAAUUUGGAGCAGGACUGGACUGUGCUGCAGGUUUUCCUGUUGUUAGGCAUUGACCACGUGGCUCCAGGCACCAUGCCCUGAGGCCCGAUCAGAUCCUCCAUUGCGAACCUGAUGGACCCUUGUCCAAUUGUAAAGUCACUGGCAACUCUGAAUGGCAGAUACCUGAGGGUCUGUCGUGUUGGUAGAUGUGGUGCCUGGCAGAGCUGGCCGCAGCCAGAGGACAAGGCCAGCGCUAUGUCUUCCCUAAUGUCUGCCUUGCUCUUAGAACAUGCCAGGUAACGGGUUCCUGUAGCGAUGGUAAGGUGCCCUGGGGGAUUCUGGAAGGACAAUGAGUGGACAGCAAGGGAGAGGUCAGCAGCGUCUCUAUGUGGCCCCAUUUCCUUCACAAGACUGGGCUGCGGGCUGGAGAGAUGGCUCAGUGGUUAAGAGCACUGGCUGCUCUUGCAGAGGACUCGGGUUUGGCUCCUAGCACCCAUGUGGUGGCUCACAUCUGUCCCUAAGUCCUGUCCCCAGGGAUCCAAAUGCCUUCUUUUGGUUUCUUUGAGCACUGGUAAUGCACACAGUACACAGGGGCAGAACACUCAGACACAGGAAAUAUAAGUAAAUCUUUAAACAGAACAGGGUGGGAAGUGGGGGCUGGGUCGUAGGUAGUUUCGGAAGGCCUAUGGAGGAACUCAGGGCAGGAUUCAGGCAUGUGGCCUGGCCUUGGCACAUGAAGGACUAGUGAGGCCCCAAGGGUUGGGGAGACUCAGAGAUGUAAUAUGAGUGCCCUUGUGUCAAAAUAAAACCUGUGAGUUGUGAUAGUGUACACUUUUAAUCCAAGAAUUUAGGAGGUAGAGGCAGUCAGGUCUCUAAGUUUGAGGCUGGCCUGGUCUAUGAAAAGAGUUCCAGGACAGCCAGAGCUACACGGAGAAAUCAUCUCAAAAAAAAAAAAAAAAAAAAAAAACAAAA